rnacentral:rRNA from 1 species
AGUGAACGCUGGCGGUAGGCCUAACACAUGCAAGUCGAACGGCAGCACAAUAAGAGCUUGCUCUUACGGGUGGCGAGUGGCGGACGGGUGAGGAAUACAUCGGAAUCUACUUUUUCGUGGGGGAUAACGUAGGGAAACUUACGCUAAUACCGCAUACGACCUACGGGUGAAAGCAGGGGAUCUUCGGACCUUGCGCGAUUGAAUGAGCAGAUGUCGGAUUAGCUAGUUGGCGGGGUAAAGGCCCACCAAGGCGACGAUCCGUAGCUGGUCUGAGAGGAUGAUCAGCCACACUGGAACUGAGACACGGUCCAGACUCCUACGGGAGGCAGCAGUGGGGAAUAUUGGACAAUGGGCGCAAGCCUGAUCCAGCCAUACCGCGUGGGUGAAGAAGGCCUUCGGGUUGUAAAGCCCUUUUGUUGGGAAAGAAAAGCAGCAGGUUAAUACCCCGCUGUUCUGACGGUACCCAAAGAAUAAGCACCGGCUAACUUCGUG